AGUGAACGCUGGCGGUAGGCCUAACACAUGCAAGUCGAACGGCAGCACAGUAAUAUCUUGCUCUUACGGGUUGCGAGUGGCGGACGUGUCAGGAAUACAUCGUAAUCUACUUUUUCGUGUGCGUUAACGUAGGUUAACUUACUCUAAUACCUCAUACCACCUACGGUUGAAAGUAUUGGAUCUUUUGACCUUUCGCGAUUGAAUGAGCCGAUGUCGGAUUUGCUCGUUGGCUGGUUGAAGACCCACCCAUUCGACGAUCCGUCGCUGGUCUGGGUGGAUGAUCAGCCACACUGGAACUGAGACACGGUCCAGAAUACUAAGGGAGGCAGCAGUGGGGAAUAUUGGACAAUGGGCGGAAGCCUGAUCCAGACAUACCGAGUGAGUGAAGAAGGACUUCGGGUUGUAAAGCACUUUUGUUGGGAAAGAAAAGCAGCAGGUUAAUAACCAGCUGUUAUGACGGUAACAAAAGAAUAAGCACCGGCUAACUUCGUG
rnacentral:rRNA from 1 species